rfam:Candidatus Levybacteria bacterium RIFCSPLOWO2_01_FTLL_36_13 rifcsplowo2_01_scaffold_14, whole genome shotgun sequence.
GGGUACUUAGCUCAGUGGUAGAGCGCUUCGUUUACAUCGAAGAUGUCGGGGGUUCAAGUCCCUCAGUACCCA